UACGUAGGGGGCAAGCGUUGUCCGGAAUCAUUGGGCGUAAAGCGCGUGUAGGCGGCUUCGUAAGUCCGUUGUGAAAGUCCAGGGCUCAACCCUGGAAUGCGGGUGGAUACUGCCGGGCUAGAGUCCGGAAGAGGCGAGUGGAAUUCCUGGUGUAGCGGUGGAAUGCGCAGAUAUCUGGAGGAACACCGGUGGCGAAGGCGGCAUCCUGGACCGACACUGACGCUGAGACGCGAAAGCCAGGGAGCAAAGCG
rnacentral:rRNA from 1 species